CCAAUGCAGGGCUUAGUGCCUUUAAAAGCAGGCGCCUCCACCAGGAGCGGUGGCUCACACCUGUAAUCCCAGCACUUUGGGAGGCUGAGGCAGGAGGACUGCUUGGGCCCAAGGAGUUACAGACUAGCCUAGGCAAGAUGGCAAGAGUCCAUCUUAAAAAAAGAAGAAAAAAAAAUUUUUUACGACAAGGAAAGGACCAUGUUCUUUUGGGGCACCCUGGCCAGCAGGGCCAUGUUUUCAUCCAUACCUGUGCAUUUAAAAAAUUCUUUGUUAAAGGCCCACCAGUCCCCAUUGAACCUGGUUUCAAGGAAGAUCUAGGCCAUGCCGAUCCAUUUAGAGCGUAAUUUGAAGUGAAAAAGACAGGCAAAGUCUGUCCGAUACCUGAACAAUGUUUUACACUGCGAUCAUGGUUAGAUGUAAUUCAUCUGAUUCUCUGAGCCUUUCUGGAAUUUUAUCAAAUCUUCUGAGGGGUAUGGAGAAUAGUAUAGUGUCCCACACACAGAAAAAAAUUUCCCCAACAAAUGUCUUAUUUACAGCAGACCGGUCACAUUCUGUGGAUUUCUUUUCAAUGAAAACACUUCCUUGAAAUUGGAAGAAGACUUAGAAAUCUCAUGGCUGUCUUCCCUUAAUUCGUCUCUUUCUUUCCCCAACAAGUUCCCUCCUCAAAAGCUCAACAUUGCCUCCCUCCCCAGCCCUUCCAGUUGGGGUUUGGGUGAGGGGCUAAGAACACCGUUUUCAGCCCCACGGGAUGAGACGGGCCCCUCACACGGAAGAGCUGGCGGUGGGAGGGAAGGAACCAGCACAAAUCAUGAGGGUCUGUCAGGUUUGUGGUUCUCACAGUUUGCCUUGUUUCACACCCUAUGGGAAGACAGAAACCCACACACACUAGGCUCAGAAACCAGAGGCUUCAACCCUGCACGCAUUUGUUUUGUGUCGCUAGCAGCUAUUGUAUUUCACACACCACGCCUUCAUCAUCCCUUGUCGUCCUUGUGCCAGAAGAACCCUCACUAUGUUGUAGAAACCUGUUCAUUCUCCUAACAGGCCUUCAAGGAAGCGGGGUGUUGAGAUGACCCCCGCCCCUGUUGCAGGUGGAGAAUCAGAGGCCCAGAUAGGACGAGUCAUUUAGUUCCAACCUCUGCCUCCCCACCAGCCCUUCCAGAUGCACCAGUCUUUCCACCAGACCUUGAGCCCAUCCAGCUCCUGAGCAGGGCACUGCCAGGCCACCCCCAAAGCCCCUGCCUCUUCCCGAGAGCCCCACCCCUCCCAGCUGGGUAGCCCACCCAAGGGUCCACACGCCUCAACUGGGGCCGACUCCCAAGACGGCCAACACCACGUCCUAAAGACUGAGCCACCAGCCCAGCCUCUCACCCCCAUCUAUCUGGGCUUGGUCAUCCCGAACAAGUGUGAAAAACGCCACCUUUGCAGGCCGGAAUCUGAAAGAAAUUGGAAACCUGCUGCUAGCUCCAUCCCCACUCUCUUCUCGUGUUUGCUGUUAUUUUUUAACACUUUUUUUUUUCUCAUAAAAGCACUAUCCUCUUCCCCAGAGCUUGCCUGUAGCGAAGGCAUGGUCUGUACAACUGCAAUUAUUUCAGAGAACAGAUGGAGUGAGGAGCAGAAAGUCUGUUAAUAGUAAUAGAAAUGCUACAUGUUAACCUGGACAGCACAUGAUGACAGUCCCAUGACUACCCGUUCUGUUCCCACCAGCUGGGUAACCAAAGUAGGAAUGAGAUAUUCACAAACACAGCCAUCAGCCACGUAGCCACCUAAAGUUAGAACUCAAAUUCCUUCACACUAGGGGCCCUGGCGACUGUGGCGGCUUAGGCCAAGAGCAGAGGAGGCUGAGCUACAGCCUGGCGCCAGGGCUGGCGGCAUCACCCGGCUCUGGGUCCACCACCAAGGCUUCCCAGGUCAGCCAAGGCCCAGGCCUAGCUUUUAGGCAAACGCUGAACUCGCCGGCCCUAGCCACUAGCCAACCCCGCCACUGCUUUCUAUGGAUGCUCGUGAGGAGGAGCGUUAAGUUUGCUGAGCUGCUCUUGACUUCCUAGAAGGCAGUGUCAUGUGUAAGGGAGUAAGUGAAGGGCCAGAGGCUUCGGAUCUCCCAAGCCAAGGUUCAGGCUCCUUAGCAGGCAACACAGUGUCAGGACCAGCAGCCCAACAGGCUUGUCCAGUCCUGCACCAGAAAUUUCUUUCCCUUUCUAGAACA